GUCACAGUACACUCAGAAAAGGAAUCGUAAAUUACCGAUCCACAGUCGUCUCUGACAACCAGUAGAUCAACAAUUUGCCAGAAAUCAAUUCAGCAGCUUCAGAACUAUCGUUUGAAGGUGAAGAUGACCAGUUCAAAGGCCCUUUGUUUGGUUUUGAUGGCGGUGUCACUAUGUGCAGUCGACGGUGCCCCAACGGCCGAUAUGCCACCUUUAUGCGGGAACAAUACAAGGUGCUGCAGGACUGACAAAAACAACGUGACGAUCUGCAAGAAUACCCCUAGUCCAAAUAGCCAAGGUAUUGCACCUUGCCCCAAGCCCUGGUCCUGUAUUUGUGCUGAAGGAUACGCAUUGGACC